rnacentral:rRNA from 1 species
CAGUCGCCCGGGAAUACGAAGGGGGCUAGCGUUGCUCGGAAUGACUGGGCGUAAAGGGCGCGUAGGCGGAUUGUUUAGUUAGGCGUGAAAUUCCUGGGCUUAACCUGGGGACUGCAUUUGUGGCUGGCGAGCUAGAGUAUGGCAGAGGGGGGUAGAAUUCCACGUGUAGCAGUGAAAUGCGUAGAGAUGUGGAGGAAUACCGAUGGCGAAGGCAGCCCCCUGGGCCAAUACUGACGCUCAUGCACGAAAGCGUGGGGAGCAAACAGGAUUAGAUACCCCGGUAGUCCCCUGUCUCUUAUAC